AUACUUAUGUGGCAGGGAGAAUACCAUGAUCAUGAAGGUGGUUUUCCUAGGGUGAGGCUUAUUCAUUGCCCUCCAGUUGUGCCGACCCCUGCCAUUUCCCCAAAUGUGGGAGACUAAACUGCAUGAUUUGUGGGAGGGGGACUACGUUUGUGCUCUCGCCUG